rnacentral:rRNA from 1 species
UACGUAGGCAGCAAGCGUUGUUCGGAAUUACUGGGCGUAAAGAGUGUGUAGGCGGUGCUCCAAGUCUGGUGUGAAAUCUCCCGGCUCAACUGGGAGGGUGCGCUAGAAACUGGAAUGCUAGAGGAUGGGAGAGGUAAGCGGAAUUCCUGGUGUAGCGGUGAAAUGCGUAGAUAUCAGGAGGAACACCUGUGGCGAAGGCGGCCAACUGGACCAUUACUGACGCUGAGGCGCGAAAGCGUGGGGAGCAAACAGG